AGAGUCUAUCAUCAGGAGAUAGAGUUUGUAAUCUCAGCAUGGACAAAACUGAACUUAAAGAGGACACAGUGUCUUCAGGUGAUUUUUCAACUGUGAUUCAACCUCUAUCUGAUGUUAGUGCUGCUGGACACACUCCAGUCAAUCCUUCAACAGAUCCAGAGAAUAUUAAAGAAAGGCUUGAGAGAAUAGUUAACAUGAUGAAGGAUACAUCUAACAUUCUGCAAAAUAUAGAGCCGACAAUGUGAUUUAUACACAGCCUAAACUUGUUUUUACAUGCCUUGUGAUUCUGCUGUUAUAGUUUUAUAAAAUAUUAAGUGUCUUGUCCUCUAGAUGUCACUGGAACUCAAGUAAAAUUUCAAGGUAAAUGGCGCCCUCUAAGGUUUUUUCUUUUGUAUUACAACCUGUCAAGGAAGCAUUAUUAGUAGAGUACAUUUACACACUUCAACAGUUGUGCACUCACUUACAUACACACGUUAGAUAAAGUAAAGGUUGCAUGAAGUACCAUGGUUAUAUUUAUCAGAGCAAAAUGUUCUGUGAAUCAAUUUUUAAGAUAUGAAGUUCAAUUGUACCUCUACCAAGAUCAUGGGUACGAGUCCUAAGGAAUGCACAUACCAGUACUGAUAAAAUGUUAAGCUUGAGUUAACUUAAUGGGGUCGGAUAGUUUUGCUUUUUUGCAUGUGUAAUUCCCCCACCCCAGACUUUUUACCCUUUAUUUAUCCCAUUGAGAUUAAUGAUCUCCUUUACAAGGGAGACCUGGCCAUACAAUCUCAAUUUAUGUAAUUUGGAUACUGUUGUCAUUCACACUUAUUUACACUUCUGACAGCUUUGCUUUAUCAGUCACACUUAAUAUGCAUUUUAUCAAUAUUGAAAUACAUAUUUUAUACUUUCCUUAUGGGCAAACAGCUAUUAAAGGGAUAGUUCACCCAAAAAUGA